rnacentral:rRNA from 1 species
GGCCUGGCUGGGCGGUCUGCCUUUCGGUUAGUACUGCCUCGGCUGGGUCUUUCCUUCUGGAGAGCCGGCAUGCCCUUCAUUGGGUGUGUCGGGGAUCCAGGACUUUUACCUUGAAAAAAUUAGAGUGCUCAAAGCAGGCAUUUCCGCUUGAAUACAUUAGCAUGGAAUAAUAGAAUAGGA